rnacentral:rRNA from 1 species
GACGAACGCUGGCGGCGUGCCUAAUACAUGCAAGUCGAACGCAGUGGGGACGGGUGAGUAACACGUGGGUAACCUCCCAUCAGAGGGGAUAACACUUGGAAACAGGUGCUAAACCGAUACUGAUGGAUGGACCCGCGGUGCAUUAGCUAGUUGGGGAGGUAACGGCUCAACAAGGCCACGAUGCAUAGCCGCCCUGAGAGUGUGUGCGGCCACACUGGGACUGUGACACGGCCCAUAUUCCGACGUGAGGAAGCAUUAGGGAAUCUUCUGCAAUGGACGAAAGUCUGACCGAGCAACGCCGCGUGAGUGAAGAAGGUUUUCGGAUCGUAAAACUCUGGUGUUAGAGAAGCGGUAUCUAACCAGAAAGCCACGGCUAACUACGUGCCAGCAGCCGCGGUAAUUC